rnacentral:rRNA from 1 species
UACGUAGGGGCUAGCGUUGUCCGGAUUUAUUGGGCGUAAAGAGCGUGUAGGCGGCCAGGUAGGUCUGGUGUGAAAACUCGAGGCUUAACCUCGAGAUGUCAUCGGAAACCAUCUGGCUAGAGUCCGGAAGAGGAGAGUGGAAUUCCUGGUGUAGCGGUGAAAUGCGCAGAUAUCAGGAAGAACACCAAUGGCGAAAGCAGCUCUCUGGGACGGUACUGACGCUGAGACGCGAAAGCGUGGGGGAGCGAACAGG